rnacentral:misc_RNA from 1 species
GAUGAAGAACGUAGCGAAAUGCGAUAAGUAGUGUGAAUUGCAGAAUUCAGUGAAUCAUCGAAUCUUUGUACGCACAUUGCGCCCUUUGGUAUUCCAAAGGGCAUGCCUGUUCGAGCGUCAUUUGUACCCUCAAGCUUUGCUUGGUGUUGGGCGUCUUGUCUCUAGCUUUGCUGGAGACUCGCCUUAAAGUAAUUGGCAGCCGGCCUACUGGUUUCGGAGCGCAGCACAAGUCGCACUCUCUAUCAGCAAAGGUCUAGCAUCCAUUAAGCCUUUUUUUCAACUUUUGACCUCGGAUCAGGUAGGGAUACCCGCUGAACUUAAGCAUAUCAAUAAGCGGAGGA